GACGAACGCUGGCGGCGUGCUUAACACAUGCAAGUCGAACGGAAAGGCCUGCUUUCCCUUGUGGCUUGCGGGUACUCGGGUGGCUAACGGGUGAGUAACACGUGAGUGAUCUGCCCCCACCUUGGGUAUAAGCCUGGGAAACUGGGUCUCAUUCCCGCUACGACUUCAGGGUGGUUCCUGUGGUGGAAGACGCUUUUCUAGUGGUUGGGGAUGAGCUCUCGGUGUAUGAGCUUGUUGGUGGGGUAAUGGCCGACCAAGGCGGCGACGGGUAGCCGUCCUGAGAGGGUGGACGGCCACAGUGGGACUGAGAUAAGGGCCAGACUCCUAUGGGAGGUAGCAGUGGGGAAUAUUGCACAAUGAGCGGAAGCCUGAUGCAGCGACGCGGCGUGGGGGAGGACGGCCUUCGGGUUGUAAACGGCUUGCGACCGCGAGGAAGCCACGUGGUUGGAAGGGUGGUGACGGUAGUGGUAGAAGAAGCACCGGCUAACUACGUG
rnacentral:rRNA from 1 species